AUUGAACGCUGGCGGCAGGCUUAACACAUGCAAGUCGAGCGGUAGCACAGAGAAACUUGUUUCUUGGGUGACGAGCGGCGGACGGGUGAGUAACGCGUAGGAAUCUACCUAGUAGAGGGGGACAACAUGUGGAAACGCAUGCUAAUACCGCAUACGCCCUUAGGGGGAAAGGAGGGGACUUUUCGGAGCCUUCCGCUAUUAGAUGAGCCUGCGUGAGAUUAGCUAGUUGGUAGGGUAAAGGCCUACCAAGGCGACGAUCUCUAACUGGUCUGAGAGGAUGACCAGUCACACUGGGACUGAGACACGGCCCAGACUCCUACGGGAGGCAGCAGUGGGGAAUAUUGGACAAUGGGCGCAAGCCUGAUCCAGCCAUGCCGCGUGUGUGAAGAAGGCCUUAGGGUUGUAAAGCACUUUCAGGGGUGAGGAAGGGUAAUUGGUUAAUACCCAAUUAUCUUGACGUUAGCCCCAGAAGAAGCACCGGCUAACUCUGUG
rnacentral:rRNA from 1 species